rnacentral:tRNA from 1 species
GGCCUUGUAUUCAAAAAUGAUUCUAGACUGCAAUUCUAGAGGUGUAAUGGCAAAAUUUACUAAGGCCU